CCUACGGGAGGCAGCAGUGGGGAAUUUUGGACAAUGGGCGCAAGCCUGAUCCAGCAAUGCCGCGUGCAGGAUGAAGGCCUUCGGGUUGUAAACUGCUUUUGUACGGAACGAAACGGCGAGCUCUAAUAAAGUUCGCUAAUGACGGUACCGUAAGAAUAAGCACCGGCUAACUACGUGCCAGCAGCCGCGGUAAUACGUAGGGUGCAAGCGUUAAUCGGAAUUACUGGGCGUAAAGCGUGCGCAGGCGGUGAUGUAAGACAGAUGUGAAAUCCCCGGGCUCAACCUGGGACCUGCAUUUGUGACUGCAUCGCUAGAGUACGGUAGAGGGGGAUGGAAUUCCGCGUGUAGCAGUGAAAUGCGUAGAUAUGCGGAGGAACACCGAUGGCGAAGGCAAUCCCCUGGACCUGUACUGACGCUCAUGCACGAAAGCGUGGGGAGCAAACAGGAUUAGAUACCCUGGUAGUCCACGCCCUAAACGAUGUCAACUGGUUGUUGGGUCUUCACUGACUCAGUAACGAAGCUAACGCGUGAAGUUGACCGCCUGGGGAGUACGGCCGCAAGGUUGAAACGUCAAAGGAUUGACGGCUGAGACGNGCGAGGCGACGACGAGGGAGGAGG
rnacentral:rRNA from 1 species